ACAUGAGCAUGGGGAGGCAGAAGUGCUCUGUAAGGCUGGGGGUUAUAAGACAAGAGAUCACUUCUUCGGUUUACUUUUUCCUCCAGCCUCUAGCCAGGCCUCCUCUUCCAUGUUCCCAGUACUUGGGGGGUCCUCUAGUCCUCAGGCUAAGCAAAACAAACUUGUUAUUUUGCCCUCUCUUGCAGAGCUCUGGGGGACCUCAGGUCCAUUGCACUGCUGAGGAGAGUGCUUUGGAGAAACCAUGCGGAGAGAGCAAUGAUUGAUGUGGAAAGUGCCAGUAGCACAGCUAAGCCUGGACUAGCUCUUCUUGGUGGGUGGAGGAGACAGUCCUGCUGUUCAGAGGGGCAUGUGCUGUCCUCACUGAGCAUGGAAGUCAGGGACUGUGGGAGGCUUGAGAACAUUUUCUUUCAGUUCCCUUUGCUUCUUCAGAUUUCCAGUUUUUCAUCUUAUAGUCUCCCCAGCCUCUUGAUGGUUUGGUUAGGUUUCUCUGCCUGCAGGUAUCCAGAAGCUUCAGUGCUUUUGUUUCCCACAGAUUAUUUUUGUUUCUUUGCACAGUGAAUCAUCUUUCACUGAGAAUAAGGUUUAUUUCAGCCCCAGAACUGAAGAUGUUCUGUUGGCGCUUUCUCUCCUCUCUCACAUUCUCCUGGUUAUCUUUCCACAGUUUAGCGCACACAGGUGGCCAAAACCUUGAGAGCUCACAGACCUUUAGCAAAGCACAUCAUGAAAUCUUUCACACCACAGGAUGGCAGCUUUAUGUUGCUUCUGUUUCUUUAUAUGGAUGAAGUGCUGCUCAAUACAAAGCUUUUUUAUACUGAUGUCCAUGAUUCUGCAUUCAAGGGAUGCUAAAAAUUAUAAAGUGACCAGUUAGCUAAAUGUUAUUUUAUUCUACUGAAAUGGAAAGACUGAAUAUUUCACACUGUCAUUUGCUUGUUUGUUUCUUUGUAGCUUCACGUAGUCUAACCCUAAUGCAGGCAAUGACUCCUGACCCAGAGGAGCUUUCUGGCUCUGGGAGCUUUGUUGCCCCAGAGAUCUCAGGGACGGAGAACAAUGCACUGAGAGACCUUGUGGUCUCAGGGGUUACAGACCACAGCCUUAGUGUCUCGUGGUACGCGAACACAGGAGCCUACACUAGUUUUGUGGUGGAGUACAAGGAAGUGUCAUUGGCAGCUGGGUCCCCUGCAGAAACCUUCCUUCCUAAAGAUUCCCUAGGUGCUGUGAUUGAAGGCCUCCAAGCUAACACUUCCUAUAAAAUCAAGGUGUAUGGAUUGGCUGGAGAACAGCGCUCCCCUCCUCUGGAAGCUGUGGCUACAACAGGUACCUCCUUUCUGUUACUAACUAAGGUACCACAAAGCAGGGUCUCUCUUGUUAAAGGUCCUUCCCAGCAUUGUGCUCAGGUUUUGGUUUAGAACUACUUCAGAAGUCACAGAAAAUGAGCCAUUUUACUAGUUGGAGGGACCUUCCUGCCAGCAUGUCUGGAGAAUGUUGUGCGAGAUUGACAACUAAUCUGCAGAGCGAGCACGUAACCCAGCUCUGAGAAAGCUGAGCACUCAGACUGCAGCUUUGUUCCUUCUUGUUCUGGUUCUGGAGCCCUGCCUGCGUAGCACAAUGUGGGUCCUGGAGGAGGAGGGAUGGCAAUACAUCAGGCAUGAGAAGGCUGUGGAAAUAAAUGAGUGAACAUAAGAGAAACCAAGUGCCAACCUCACAUUCCUCUGCUGAAGGACCCAGAUUGUGCAGCAACUGCUGAUGAAUCAUGGAUAAGAUACUGUCUUGCCUCUGGAAAUGAGUUGCACAUAGGAGCAUGGCUUGUAGAAGCAAGUUGUCCAUUCUGUUGAAUGUUUUUAAGAAAAUUUAUGUUUUUUACCAAAGACCCUUGUCUGUGUCAUGCGUCAGUUGCUCUUCCUCUCCUGGCUUCUACCAGUCUCAGAUUGCACCACCCUUCUUUAUACAAACUCAAAGGAACAUUAGGAGGAGUGAUUAGGUGACCUAGUUCAAUGGGAAACUGCAGUGCCGACUGCUGGGAAAAUGGAUUUACCAGUAAAGGUUGUCCAUUUCUUCAGCUGAUUCCUCUGCUGAGAGUACCUGGGAUCUCAGACUUCAAUAUGAGGAUUUUUAGCUCUAGUUUCUGUAUUAUUUCUGGCCUGUGAUAUUAUUGCAAUGCUUUAUUAUUGGAACUCAAGGGUGCAAAGGCACUGUAAGACCACUUAAUCAGCUGGUUGAGAGAGGGGAAAGCCAUUUAGCCAAAGGGUUUUUAAAAGAACACUAAUAUCUUGGUAGGCUGUGGUUCUGCAACCCUCUUUCAGAGAACUGUAGCCAUAUCCUACAGUGAGGUCGAUCUGAUGAGAACUUCUGCAGUGAAACUGGCUGAUAGCCCUUCUUGGAAAACAAUGUAAAAUCCAAGAGACGGAAGCAAGAAAUAAUACAGAAUACUCUUUGCUCCAUCCUGAGUAACCGGGGAAAUGUCCUGGCAGGACAUUAACAUUCUUCUUAGUAAAAACUCCAGUGAAGCAUUACAGUGGAAUUCCUCAAAAGGCCAGCAGCAGCAGUGUGGACAUAUUUAGGCCAUAUUCAGCCUGGAGAUUCUACUAAGAGAAUGAUAUUAAGAAAUAUUCCAGUCUGAGAAAGAGCGUGUUUAUUGUCCAUCCAGUUCCCUUCCUCUUUACUUUCAGCUCUUUGGCAUUUACUAUUUAUUCAUCUCACCAUCAUGCAUCAGCCUGUCUGGCUGUCAUCCACCCACCUAGAGCUCCUAUAGCUCUGUUUUCUUCCCAUAUAUUCCCCUGCUUGCUUUGUCAAGUGUUUGAUCUGCAUUGGUCUUGAUAUCCUACAGUUUGUUUUCCAAAUUUUCUGUUAUCCACUCUGUAGCUAAUAUUCUGUAUGCUAAACGUUGAAUGCUGAUAUUAUCUAUGGUAUCCAAGUGUUUUCUGCAUGUUCAUAUCACUUGCAUUUUUCUAUCCAUUGCAUGUUUGUACACAAAGCCACAUAUUCCUCUAUUACACAAUGUACUAAUAGGUGUGUGCCUGUGCAUUUAUAUGUGCGUGUAGAUAGUAGACCACCCUUUCUCGACCACAAAUUCAUUUGUGGAGUCCACCAUUAAACACAAGAUAAUACUCAGAAUUAGGUUUGAAAAAAGUUUCAGAGAUAAUGUAACUACAUAAAUUGUACGUGCUUUGUAGGACAGCCUGUCCAUGGUAACCACCCAUGUAGUUGUCAAAGAUGUCACAAAGAAAUUAACCCACUUGUGACAGCAAAAUGCUGAAUUAAAAUGCCAGUUACAGGAAUUGGUCCCUCCUUUUUUAGAUAAUGCAGUUGAACUGUUGCUGUGUUUCCCAUUUGUGUGUUUAUACUAUAAUUGGUGGGAAUUUUGGAUAAGUAUCAAUAGGGAUGCUCAAGGAAAAUGAGGGGAAACGAGAAGCCAAUUUUGACUAAUAUUUCUUGGGGUUUCUGAAGGAUUCUUAGUAUGCCAGCUUAAGGACAGCCUCAUGUUUUCAUUUUCCCUUCUAUUUUUGUACACUUAGUCCUGGUUUUUGAAUUCAAGGUGCGUGGCAGUUCCCCAGUGGGACCUUCCAUGGCACGGAGCUUACCUGUAUAAUGUACUGCUCUCUUCCUCUGUGCUGGUCUGUUCACUCCCUCUAUUUAUGCAUGUCUCCUGCAGAAAUAAUCCACAGUAAAGCCCAGCUGCCACUAUGCAUGUUAAGUAUUUUUAAGCCUCUUUAAGUCUGAACAAGUACCAGUGCACUUGCUUGAUGCCAUAGGUUUUUGCCUGUUCCCAGCGCUAUGAUUGUGCAAAAGCAGCUGAGAGUCAGGGCAAGCUACCGGUUCAGUGCUGCAUGUCCUCCUGCUUUGUUCCCUAGGGAUGUUACAGAAGUUCAGUCACCCUUGUGUGGUCAGGGAAUAGUUCUGACAGCACAUUUUCCAAGAAAGAAUGAACUACGCUAGCAGUUACCAUUGCACAUAUGCUGGUGUGAUGACAACUUUGCUGUCUUCGGGUUGCACGAUAUGUAGGACCUGGUUCAGAUCACAUGCUGGUGUAAUUUAGGAGGACCCUUACCUAAGUCAACUGUCACUGAUAUGAUAUAUGUAAUAUAUAAUAUAUGUAAAUAUAAGUCACUGCCUCACAGGCUUUGCUCUUUUCUGGAGGUGAGCAGAAAGCAACGUUUCUACAUCUAUACUUCUCCUGAGAGUAUAUUUUCAAGAUAAAAUUUCUGCAUUUAUUUGAAAACAGUUUAAGUUGUUCUUUCUCAUCUAAAACCUUUUUUUUUCUUUUUUCUGAUACAUGUGUGAAUUUGGAGACAGAUACUGAAUCCUGAGUACGUAUUUGUGCUGAACUGACUGAUGGUGGUAGAUGACUCACUCUCUCUUAAUUGAAUGCCAUGGAGCAUGAAAGCAAGGCAGUCAUCGAGCACAUCUAGUCACAUCACCUGGAGAAUCAAACAGUGAAACAUCAUUUAAUCCUACCAGUCCUGCACCUACAGAGCUAAGUUAUUUAACAAACCCGAGUCCUGGUUCUCAUGCUCUGCCUGUGGUGCCCACUGACCUUCCCAUCUCAGAAGUCACUGAUGCUCUUCGUGACCUAAAUAUAACACACAGGACUUCCAGUAGUUUCACCCUGUCUUGGGCAGCACAGGAUGAGGUAUUUGAUCAGUUCCUUAUCACUCUGAAAGACCUGUCCAGCUCAAACAGAACGCAGGAAAUCUUUUUGCUGGGAAACCAACGAGAAACAGAAAUUACCAAUCUCACAGCUGGCACACAAUACCAGAUUAACCUCCAAGGAAGCACUCAAGGUCAGCUCUCUUGGUCCCUGGAAGCUCUAGCUGCUACAGGUAUUUUCUAUGGAUUCAUUAGCCACGUGUUCCUUUUCUGCUUUGAAAUACAGAACUCCAUUUUCGUACUGCUGUUCCACUGCAGAAAUGCUAGGCUUUGUGAGUGAUUCCUUUUUUCUUAUUUUUUUUACUUCUUUUUGCACGGAUAAAACUCUUAUUGCUAUGGAAUGAGAACUUUGGGUUAUGUAGCAUGGACAAUGCCCCAUACAGCUUUUAAAGUGAUGUAGCAUCAAUUCUCUCUUUUCAAAUUGCAUGCAAAGAGGAGCAUUGAUGCAUCUGCUAUUUACAAGGGACAUGAAAAUAGCAAGAUAUUACAGGGAUUGUGGUCCAGAGCACCCAAGAAAAAUCACAAGGAGGUUGCAGUUUGCAGCAUUGGCAUGGAAGUGGUGAUGUUAGAGGAAAAAAAAGAUUGUAACACAUUGGGAGUAUACCUGUCUGAAAACUUCUUACCUCUUGUCCCUCUUAAAUGAAUUUCAUGAGGAAACAGGCUUGUAGCCACAGAGUUCAGUUCAAUAAUGUUGCAAGAAACAAUGUCAAAGUUAAUUCCUGAAGAACAUAGCCAGAGACUAAUGACUAUAGCAGAUCAUCAGCCAAGAAUUAAAUUAUGAUGUGCGAUAAGAUAUUCACAUAGAAACACAAAGAUCAUUGUGAACCUAGUACAUGGCUAGAGCAGUCUUAUCUCUCAAUGGUUUGUUCUCUCUUUUUUUUUUUUAAGCUAAGAAACAUCAUCCCUUGAUAGCAUUUGCCAUGACAUUAUCAUUGUUUUGUCACAUAUGUUGAAUGCUUUGUGGAUGAGGCUUUCAGAGAUCUCCAGCUGUCCAACCUGGUGCAUGAUUUUAUAUGAGAAUCUCUCGGUCCCUAGAGAGCAUGAUGGGGUUGAGUGCACUUCCGUUUCAGGCAUGCAUGAGAAAUAAAUAGGAGAAAAAGGGACUCUGCAUCCCAGAGGUGAAUGAAACUGAGUACUCUUUGGAGAAAUUUGAGUUGCUUCUAAGCUGUGAUGGUUACUGCAUUACUUAUUAUAAUCGUGCUUUUAUGUGAAAUAUUUUGCCUUGCUUUAACUUUUGGUUUAGUUUCAUUUUCAUUUUAGCAAUGUGUUUGUUUUAUUUAUUUCUGUUGCCACCAAAAGAUCAUUAUUUCUGAUUCAACCCAUUCCUUUUUUGUUCUGCUUUCUUUUUCAGCUAAAUGGUGCUAUCUUGACAUGAUUUAUAUUUUGCCUCUGAGUAUUUCAUUCCUGUUACUGAGGAAGCUAAACAGCUCUAGGAUUCAUGCAUUUUUUUUGUUGAACAUGGUGUUAUUUCAUAAACAAUCUCUUCCUUUCUAGCAGGAUAGGAAAAGCUUGUCAAGACUUUGAUGUUCCUGGAUAGUAAUAUUUGCUAUACAUUAGUGACUCUCACUGAUGGUAAUUGACUGUUACCCAUGAGUGUUACCUCUCAAAAUGCAGCCCUACCUACCUAUACAAUGCUAUGCAGCAGUCACACAAGAGAUUUUCUGUUUUUUACAGGAAGAAAAUUUAUAUGAAUAAUGUUGCUAAGCCUAGUUCUCAUUUAUUUCAGAGCCUUACUGACUCAAAUUUACAUAGAGUCUGAAGUUGAAGUUUAGAACUGAAAAAAUCAGAUCCAUUUCCCUUUAUGUGUCAUAUCUCUUACAAAUGCUCAGGCAGGCAGAUUGGGAUUAUUUAGCUAGGCUCAGUUCUUACUGUAAUGCCGAUGUGUUAACAAUGCAAGGAAGUGAGAAAAGUGCUAGAAACUUAUCCCAGCCCACUGGCCAAUGAUAGAUCAUGUAGCAGGAUUUUCCAUGUAGAAAAAGUAAGGUAUUACUGUGUCAUUUUCUCAUGUGACUGCUAACUUUUAAGAAAAUCCUCAGUACUGGAGGAUUUUCUAUUCCUGCUGAGAAAACAACCUAAACUUUCAGAUAAAACAGCAUCAGAGAGUUAGUUCUGAUGGUUCCUGACUUUCUAGGCCACCCUUGUGGAUGGCAUACAAAAAUGUUGAUUUCUGUGAAUGUAGAUUUCAAUUUUAGAUUAAUAUCAAUAACUCUGAAAAUCCAAGCUUCUCUGCCUCCAGAAAGGUUUUCGGGGCAGAAUAAUGUAAUGUAAUGAAGAUAACUCCAUUAAACAAUUCUUAACUGUUUCUGAUUAGAAAUAGUUUGGAAGAAUAAAUAUCAUCCUUCAAUUAAAAGCAUAAACAUCAGAAUCCCGAGUAGUAGAUGCUCAGCAUCCUUCUAGCCUUACAAUAGGCUUACUGCAGUAUUCACAGUCACUUUAAAAUGACAAACACCAAGUCAUUAAUAGCUGGAGUAAAGUGGUUAUAGUAAUACUUACUUGUCUCAUAGGGAGUUGUAAUUAAUAUUGGCAAAACACUCGCAGCUGUAAGACAGUCUUUAAACCACUUUCUGUAAGCAGUCUUUUAGCAUUACUGUGAAUAUUAUUUAUUAUUAUGGUUCUUUUCUUUCUGUUCUGUCUUGCCAAGUCUCUGAAGAGACUUUAUGAGUUAUCCGGGGCAGCUGAGAAUGUCAAUGUGUGUGGGGGUGCAUUUCCGUGUCACUUGCUUACAAAUGAAGUUCAUUAGCUCUGAAAGUCAUUAAGUAAUACCUCACCACCACCAGUCUGUAAUCUGAGUAACUGACUGACUCUCUGUCCU